UACGUAUGGUGCAAGCGUUAUCCGGAUUUACUGGGUGUAAAGGGAGCGCAGGCGGUUCUGCAAGUCUGAUGUGAAAGCCCGGGGCUCAACCGCGGGACUGCAUUGGAAACUGCGGGACUGGAGUGUCGGAGGGGUAAGCGGAAUUCCUGGUGUAGCGGUGAAAUGCGUAGAUAUCAGGAGGAACACCGGUGGCGAAGGCGGCUUACUGGACGAUGACUGACGCUGAGGCUCGAAAGCGUGGGGAACAAACAGG
rnacentral:rRNA from 1 species